rnacentral:tRNA from 1 species
GGCUCCGUGGUGUAGUUGGUAUCGCAUUGGCCUAGAAGACGCUGGUUCGAAUCCAGCCGGUGCCC